UCUAAAGUGCUCAAACUGAACACUCUCCAGAUACCUUGAGGACCAGUGGGAGUCUAAAGCCAGAAAGCAACUUAGAUCACUGAAAAAGAUUCUCUCCCAAACCAGGCUCUGAAAUGAGGACAACCAAGGACAGCUACUAGUAAAGAAUAUUCCUCAUCGCAGCCUGUCCUGGGUCUCUAACAUCCAUACACCCAUUCUCUUUUGUGAAAGUGAGACUAGUAGAAGGGAUUCCCAACUUCCUCACUGCUCAGCCAUGAUCUGUGUGUCCAUCCCAGCACUUAUGAUGUUCUUCAUCCUGAGAGGAACAAGAGCUCAGUCAGUGACUCAGCCUGAAGACCAAGUUACUGUCUCUGAAGGGGAUCAACUAGAGUUGAAAUGCACCUAUUCAUAUGGGGCAACUCCAUCUCUCUUCUGGUACAUCCAGUAUCCUAACCAAGGGCUCCAGCUACUAUUGAAAUAUACAUCAGGGAACAACCUGGUUAAAGGCAUCAAAGGUUUUGAAGCAGAAUUUAACAAGAGCAAACCCUCCUUCCACCUGAAGAAACUCUCAGCCCAAGAGAGUGACUCAGCUAAGUACUUCUGUGCUGUGGGUGCACAGUGAAGGAUCCUCCAGAGGGAGCUGAAUGCAAACCUCUUGAGAUGCUGUGGCUUUCAAUGAACCAAAUUCAUAUACUGU